rnacentral:lncRNA from 1 species
CACUGAAAGGUAUACGUUUCCGCUGGGUGUUUAUACAUUUCAAAGUUAAAAGCAUACACCUUACCCAAAGUUUCAGAAAUCUGGUUUGCAAAUCUGAGUUCAUGUGUGUGUGUGUUUUUUUUUAAAGCCAUGAUCAUUUUUUAGUUUUUCUGCUUUACUCAUUCCUUUGACAGCAUUAAUUUGUGAACAUUUAUAUUCAGUUCAGCUGUAUUUAUGGCACAAGA